UCGCCGAUAGCUCAGCUGGUAGAGCAGCCGGCUGUUAACCCGCUUGUCGGAGGUUCGAGUCCUACUCGGCGAGCCA
rnacentral:tRNA from 1 species